AUUUGCGCUUCUCUCAUGGUAGUAACUAGAUCUCUCCCCAAUUUAAUGACCUUAUUUUUUCUUCGAUCUAUUGCCGGGCCUUCCUCUUUGAUCAAACAAAUUGCUCUGGUUUCCUCACCCUCUUCCUCUUCGAUAAUCUUUGUCUGGGUUCUUCAAACCUUGCCCUUGUCUCUCUCCUGUGAAUCUCCUCUGAUGAUCAUCAAAAAGUCGCCGGCAAGGUAUCUCAAUUGGGCUGUGAUUUUAUGUAACUGAUUAUUGGGGCGAGUACUUGAGGUCUUCUGCUGAUCUCUUCUCCCUGAAUUAUUUCUUGCUCGUCGGACUCAACUAAGAAAUCAUGUGAUUUGGUUGGAAUAACGUGAUAUAUUUGGUGGCCGGAUUCAUACUGAUUACGCGCUUGGUUGUUCAGUUGUCAUGGGGCCCUCAUGGACUUUUCGGGUAUGGUACAUACAAUAUCCUGCUGAUGUGAGACGUAAAGGAAGAAAGGAUAAAGUUGUUAUCGAGAGGCUACUGGGAUGUUAGUUGUUUAUAUGUCAAGAGUGCAACAACUGAGUUGUCAAAGUCGGAUAAGGGUGGCCGAGGUUGGUGCAGACAAAUUAUCCGAGCUAUUUUAUAAUCUACGUCGACGUUAUAAGGGUUAUUGUAAGAUGUUUCUUUUCUAUUAGCAAUGUUGGGUAUAUACUACUAGAACUGCGAUGGAGAAAUUAUCAGUGUCCCCAAAUUUUUCAAAGGCAAGAUUUUGUCCUUACUGUUUGUUCCUUAUCUGUUUUUUCAGAAUUUUAUAAAUCCUAUGUGAUUUUCUAUGUACACCUUGAAAUAAUUUAUGGAGUAUUGUUUUUAACAUGAAGGUAGGUAUAUUGGUAUGUAGUUUCUUAUUUUUAACAUGUGGGUAUGUACAAGUUGGGAACAUUUAGGGUAUGUGUGUUGGUAAUUUCUUAUUUUUAGUCUAAAAUAAGGAAUGAAUACUUUCCGCAAAACUUAAAUGAAAAUUUCUUGUUGUUUGGUA